UACAGAGGUCCCGAGCGUUGUUCGGAUUCAUUGGGCGUAAAGGGUGCGUAGGCGGCGGGGCAAGUCUGAUGUGAAAUCCCGGGGCUCAACUCCGGAACUGCAUUGGAUACUGCCUUGCUUGAGUACUGGAGAGGGAACUGGAAUUUACGGUGUAGCAGUGAAAUGCGUAGAGAUCGUAAGGAAGGCCAGUGGCGAAGGCGAGUUCCUGGACAGUUACUGACGCUGAGGCACGAAGGCCAGGGGAGCAAACGGG
rnacentral:rRNA from 1 species